rnacentral:rRNA from 1 species
GGAUACCCGAGGGAAACUUCGGUUAAUACGGUAUAAGACCACACUACCGCAUGGUAGAGGGGUAAAAGGGGCAACCUGGUAUGAGAUGGACUCGCGUCGCAUUAGCUAGUUGGUGAGGUAACGGCCCACCAAGGCGACGAUGCGUAGCCGACCUGAGAGGGUGAUCGGCCACAUUGGGACUGAGAUACGGCCCAGACUCCUACGGGAGGCAGCAGUGGGGAAUAUUGGGCAAUGGAGGAAACUCUGACCCAGCAAUGCCGCGUGAAUGAAGAAGGUCUUCGGAUUGUAAAGUCCUUUAGUCAGGGAAGAAGUCAAUGACGGUACCUGAAGAAUAAGCUCCGGCUAACUACGUGCCAGCAGCCGCGGUAAUACGUAGGGAGCAAGCGUUGUUCGGAAUGACUGGGCGUAAAGGGUGCGUAGGCGGUUGUACAAGUUAGAAGUGAAAUACCCAGGGCUUAACUCGGGUGCUGCUUCUAAAACUGUAUGACUUGAGUGCAGUAGAGGUUAGUGGAAUUCCUAGUGUAGCGGUGGAAUGCGUAGAUAUUAGGAGGAACACCAGAGGCGAAGGCGGCUAACUGGACUGCAACUGACGCUGAGGCACGAAAGUGUGGGGAGCAAACAGGAUUAGAUACCCUGGUAGUCCACACUGUAAACGAUGGAUACUAGAUGUAGGAGGUAUCGACUCCUUCUGCGUCGCA